GAAAUGCGAUACUUGGUGUGAAUUGCAGAAUCCCGUGAACCAUCGAGUCUUUGAACGCAAGUUGCGCCCGAGGCCUCCUGGUCGAGGGCACGUCUGCCUGGGUGUCACGCAUCGUCGCCCCCGCUCCCCUCGGCUCACGAGGGCGGGGGCGGAUACUGGUCUCCCGCGCGCUCCCGCUCGCGGCUGGCCCAAAAUCGAGUCCUCGGCGACGGUCGCCACGACGAGCGGUGGUUGAGAGACCCUCGGACACUGUCGUGCGCGCGCCCGUCGCCCCCGGGAUCUCCUGGACCCUCGGGCAUCGACCUUCUAGGAUGCCCUCGUUGCGACCCCAGGUCAGGCGGGACUACCCGCUGAGUUUAA
rnacentral:misc_RNA from 1 species